rnacentral:rRNA from 1 species
ACCUGGGAACUGCAUUCGAAACUGGCAGGCUAGAGUCUUGUAGAGGGGGGUAGAAUUCCAGGUGUAGCGGUGAAAUGCGUAGAGAUCUGGAGGAAUACCGGUGGCGAAGGCGGCCCCCUGGACAAAGACUGACGCUCAGGUGCGAAAGCGUGGGGAGCAAACAGGAUUAGAUACCCUGGUAGUCCACGCCGUAAACGAUGUCGACUUGGAGGUUGUGCCCUUGAGGCGUGGCUUCCGGAGCUAACGCGUUAAGUCGACCGCCUGGGGAGUACGGCCGCAAGGUUAAAACUCAAAUGAAUUGACGGGGGCCCGCACAAGCGGUGGAGCAUGUGGUUUAAUUCGAUGCAACGCGAAGAACCUUACCUACUCUUGACAUCCAGAGAACUUUCCAGAGAUGGAUUGGUGCCUU